GACGAACGCUGGCGGCGUGCUUAACACAUGCAAGUCGAACGGAAAGGCCCUGCUUUUGUGGGGUGCUCGAGUGGCGAACGGGUGAGUAACACGUGAGUAACCUGCCCUUGACUUUGGGAUAACUUCAGGAAACUGCGGCUAAUACCGGAUAUGAGCUCCUGCUGCAUGGUGUGGGUUGGAAAGUUUCGGCGGUUGGGGAUGGACUCGCGGCUUAUCCGCUUGUUGGUGUGGUAGUGGCUUACCAAGGCUUUGACGGGUAGCCUGCCUGAGAGGGUGAACGGCCACAUUGGGACUGAGAGACGGAGCAGACUGCUACGGGAGGCAGUAGUGGGGAAUAUGGCGCAAUGGGCGGAAGCCUGAUGCAGCGACGCCGCGUGCGGGAUGACGGCCUUCGGGGUGUGAACAGCUGUCGCAUGUGACGAAGAGGGAGUGACGGUAAUGGGUAAAGAAGCACCGGCUAACUACGUG
rnacentral:rRNA from 1 species